UUAGCCCGAAAGAAAUGGGCAAACAUAUGGGAUACUUUCAACAGCUGCAGAAAGAAGGCUUCCUCAAGGAGUGGCGAUGCUGCCAAAGUAAUCAAACAAUAUAGAUUUGCAGGAAUUUUGACAUUUCUUACGCCGUACUUACAAAGAAGGAGACUUCAAGUAACCUCGAUGUAGAACUAGCCAACACUGAAAUAAGUGAUGAGAAAACUUUCGACAGCAUUGUAGACAACAUAACAGAAGAAAGCUUUCGAUUUGAUUAUAAUGAUGAUGAUUACCACCAAUCGCAACAGCCCCAUGAGCAGCAACAACAACCACCACAGCAGAUGCAACAACAAAAAAACAACAAA